rnacentral:rRNA from 1 species
AUUGAACACUGGCGGCAGGCCUAACACAUGCAAGUCGAACGGCAGCACAGAAGAGCUUGCUCUUUGGGUGGCGAGUGGCGGACGGGUGAGUAAUGUCUGGGAAACUGCCCGAUGGAGGGGGAUAACUACUGGAAACGGUAGCUAAUACCGCAUAACGUCGCGAGACCAAAGUGGGGGACCUUCGGGCCUCACACCAGCGGAUGUGCCCAGGUGGGAUUAGCUAGUAGGUGGGGUAAUGGCUCACCUAGGCGACGAUCACUAGCUGGUCUGAGAGGAUGACCAGCCACACUGGAACUGAGACACGGUCCAGACUCCUACGGGAGGCAGCAGUGGGGAAUAUUGCACAAUGGGCGCAAGCCUGAUGCAGCCAUGCCGCGUGUAUGAAGAAGGCCUUCGGGUUGUAAAGUACUUUCAGCGGGGAGGAAGGCGGUGAGGUUAAUAACCUUGCCGAUUGACGUUACCCGCAGAAGAAGCACCGGCUAACUCCGUGCCAGCAGCCGCGGUAA